rnacentral:rRNA from 1 species
AUAAAGACUCAUCCUUUUGGAUGAGUUAUUUCAAUGAGUUGAAUAUAAAUUAUUCUUCGAGUAGCAAGGAGAGGGCAAGUCUGGUGCCAGCAGCCGCGGUAAUUCCAGCUCUCCUAGUGUAUCUCGUUAUUGCUGCGGUUAAAAAGCUCGUAGUUGGAUCUAGGUUACGUGCCGCAGUUCGCAAUUUGCGUUAACUGUGGUCGUGACUUCUAAUUUGCUGGUUUGAGGUUGGGUUCGCCCUUCAACUGCCAGCAGGUUUACCUUGAAUAAAUCAGAGUGCUCAAUACAGGCGCUUGCUUGAAUAGCUCAUCAUGGAAUAAUGAAACAGGACUUCGGUUCUUUUUGUUGGUUCUAGAAUUGAUCUAAUGGUUAAGAGGGACAAACCGGGGGCAUUCGUAUCAUUACGCGAGAGGUGAAAUUCGUGGACCGUAGUGAGACGCCCAAUAGCGAAAGCAUUUGCCAAGAAUGUCUUCAUUAAUCAAGAACGAAAGUCAGAGGUUCGAAGGCGAUUAGAUACCGCCCUAGUUCUGACCGUAAACGAUGCCAUCUCGCGAUUCGGAGGGUUCAUGCCCUACCGAGGAGCUACCCGGAAACGAAAGUCUUUCGGUUCCGGGGGUAGUAUGGUUGCAAAGCUGAAACUUAAAGAAAUUGACGGAAGGGCACCACAAGGCGUGGAGCUUGCGGCUUAAUUUGACUCAACACGGGAAAACUCACCCGGUCCGGACACUAUUAGGACUGACAGAUUGAAAGCUCUUUCUCGAUUUGGUGGUUGGUGGUGCAUGGCCGUUCUUAGUUGGUGGAGUGAUUUGUCUGGUUUAUUCCGAUAACGAGCGAGACUCUAGCCUGCUAAAUAGUCGACGAAUCUUCGGGUUCGUAUAACUUCUUAGAGGGAUAAGCGGUGUUUAGCCGCACGAGAUUGAGCGAUAACAGGUCUGUGAUGCCCUUAGAUGUCCGGGGCUGCACGCGUGCUACACUGGUGGAGUCAGCGGGUUUUUCCUAUGCCGAAAGGUAUCGGUAAACCGUUGAACUUCUUCCAUGUCCGGGAUAGGGUAUUGUAAUUAUUACCCUUAAACGAGGAAUGCCUAGUAAGUGUGAGUCAUCAGCUCACGUUGAUUACGUCCCUGCCCUUUGUACACACCGCCCGUCGCUAUCCGGGACUGAACUGAUUCGAGAAGAGUGGGGACUGUGGCUGCGAGGUUUUACCACUUCGCAGUUGCGGAAACCAUUUUUAUCGCAUUGGUUUGAACCGGGUAAAAGUCGUAACAAGGUAGCUGUAGGUGAACCAGCAGCUG